rnacentral:rRNA from 1 species
UACGUAGGUGGCGAGCGUUGUCCGGAUUUACUGGGCGUAAAGGGAGCGUAGGCGGACUUUUAAGUGAGAUGUGAAAUACCCGGGCUCAACUUGGGUGCUGCAUUUCAAACUGGAAGUCUAGAGUGCAGGAGAGGAGAAUGGAAUUCCUAGUGUAGCGGUGAAAUGCGUAGAGAUUAGGAAGAACACCAGUGGCGAAGGCGAUUCUCUGGACUGUAACUGACGCUGAGGCUCGAAAGCGUGGGGAGGCAAACAGGAUUAGAUAU